GAUGAACGCUGGCGGUAUGCUUAACACAUGCAAGUCGAACGGACUCUUCGGAGUUAGUGGCGGACGGGUGAGUAACGCGUGAGAAUCUGGCUUUGGGUUCGGGACAACCACUGGAAACGGUGGCUAAUACCGGAUGUGCCGAGAGGUAAAAGAGAAAUUGCCUGAAGAUGAGCUCGCGUCUGAUUAGCUAGUUGGUGAGGUAAAGGCUCACCAAGGCAGCGAUCAGUAGCUGGUCUGAGAGGAUGACCAGCCACACUGGGACUGAGACACGGCCCAGACUCCUUCGGGAGGCAGCAGUGGGGAAUUUUCCGCAAUGGGCGAAAGCCUGACGGAGCAAUACCGCGUGAGGGAAGAAGGCUCUUGGGUUGUAAACCUCUUUUCUUAGGGAAGAACAAAAUGACGGUACCUAAGGAAUCAGCAUCGGCUAACUCCGUG
rnacentral:rRNA from 1 species